AUUCACGAAAUCAAGUAGAGAGAAAAACAGCAAGCCACAAAUCGGACGCAUUGCCGCUAUGUGGAGCCGUCUACGCACUGAACACCCCAGUUAGUUUUGAACGACACGCGUUAACUCAACUAACCAAAGACAAGGCAUAAAUAUUUCUCGGUACUGAAGACUGAUACACAGAAAGUCUGGGCGGAUGAGUGUUUUAUACGAUAUCGAAUAGACUAGCCCCUUCCGGUGACGUCUAGUAGCCUAAAUGUGACUGUACAGUACGUGUAACCUUUAAGCCGAACUCGUCAGUGUUUCAAAUAAUUUCACAUUUCACAGUAUGUUUUCCAAGUAAAUUAAUAUACAGUA